rnacentral:piRNA from 1 species
UNGAAGUUCAAGGUUAUACUCUGCUCUUA